rnacentral:lncRNA from 1 species
AACUCCUCACAUGCUUGUCUUAAGCUCUCUUUUAAUUCAUUCAUUCCACAGUACUUAGAGAACUCUUACCCUGGGCCAAGAUCUAUGCUACGUCCUGGAGCAACAGAGAUGACUAGGAAACUAGCUCACAAUCUAGAGGAGGAAAAAUGAUACACACCAAACGCAUAAAAAGAUCAGUGUUGGGGGUUCCCAUUGUGGCGCAGUGGAAACGAAUCUGACUAGUAUCCAUGAAGACGCAGGUUCGAUCCCUGGUCUCACUCUGCGGGUUAAGGAUCCGGCAUUGCCGUGAGCUAUGGUAUGGGUCGCAGCUGCGGCUCGGAUCUGGCGUUGCUGUGGCUGUGGUGUAGGCCGGCGGCUGUAGCUCUGAUUUGACCCCUAGCCUGGGAACCUCCCUAUGCCAUGGGUGCAGCCCUGUAAAGCCCCUCAAAAAAAAAGGAUCAGUGUUGCGAUGCCAAUUCAUUGGGGCGACAGGCUCUAGGGUGCCUGGGAGGGGGACAAGAUUACUUGAAGACCUGAAUGAGGGAAGGAGCGGGCUGUGUGAAGACAUAUGAGAGGAGCUCCAGGAGGAGGGAAGGGCAAGUGCAGAGACCUGGGGGGGUUAGAAAUGAGCCUGGCCCGUUUGGGGAGGACAGGCAGGAAGGCCAGGGCGAGUGACUCAGAGAGCAAGGGGGAGGCGGAGGGUUGAAAUACUGCCAGCGGGCCCACGUACAUGAAACAGAGAAAAAACGGUCUUUUAGCAGCAUAAACCUAUUUGAGAGUUCAGAUGCAUCAUUCUUUUAUGGUUAAAAAAUAAAGUAUAACAAUGGUUUUGUCCUAGAGAAAGGCUGGAUCAACAGAUGCCCCUCAGAGGCUAUUUGCUCCAGAUAGUCAAUGUCUGCUGAAUCUCUCCAUUAGUUCCUUGGAGUGAUUUACUUUAUUUUUUAAAUAUAUUUUAUUUAUUGAAAAAAAAAUUUUUUUUAUCCUUGGAGCGAUUUAAAAAUCACUGAUCGGCUUGGGUGCCGUUACCCUCACUCAGCCGAAGGGUAUACCGAAGCCCAGAGCAGAGAAGGGGUUUCAAGUAAGGCCAGGGCAGAGCAGGAGUUAGGCCUGGGGGUGGGGGGUUAUCUGGCGCCCCAUUCAAGGGUGGGGGCCUUGGAGAAGGAGCAUCUCUCAGGCCUAGCCCUUACAUGGGAGAAGCUCUGAAUUGUGGGACACUGGAGGGCCCUGACCCCAGCUCCCCUUAUGUGGAGAAGGGACCCCCUCCAGCAGCCUGGGCGUGAGUGUGGGGCCUGGGAGGGACAGGUGAGGAUCAAGCCAGUGGCCUGCUGGCAGGGCUUGGAGUGUCUGGGCACGGUCACCUGCUCAGCAGGACCUACCCCUCACUUCCUGCUGUUUUUUUGUUUUUUUUUUUUUGGUCUUUUUAGGGCCGCACCCUCAGCAUAUGGAAGUUCCCAGGCUCAGGGUUGAAUCGGAGCUACAGCUGCCAGCCUACGCCACAGCCACAGCCACACGGGAUCUGAGGCGCAUCUGCGACCUGGUGGUUUUUCAAGCCUACUUCAGCCCUCUCCCGUGAUCCUCUGGGCCUGGCUCCCCCUCCAGUGAGUCUCUUUGAAUCAAACAGUACCAGUUGGUUUCUGCUGCUUGCUACCAGGAGCUCUCCGGGAUCUGCAGGGUCUCCCAGGCUGCAGUGCCUCUGCGAUGGCUGCUGGGGUCCCGCUCUGUUAGUGACCGGCCACGUGGUCUGGGAGAGACCAUCGCAGGCUCUGACAGGCUAGGAGGGACAUGGCAGAGCCAGUAAAGGGCUCUCAGUCACCAACUGGCUCUGGGUUUCCUAAAACUCAAUUCUAAAUCCACAUUCAGGACCACACAGCCACAACUGCCUGUACUCAACCUUGUUGAUUUUUUUUUUAAAUGACCUUCUUUUGAAACCCCAACCCAUCUCAUAGGCAACUAUAUGCCACAGUCCUAAAUGGAGAACCAGUUUUGCUUGCCCUAAAUAAAAAACAAAUCCAGCAAAAUCAAAACAAAUGAUUAAAUUUCAUCCAGCUGCCAGCUCAGGGCAGCUUGAGGCUUCCUCCCUCUGUGCAAAAAGUGAGAUUAUUAAGUGUCUAACAGCAGCAAAUAGCAGCACCCAGAAGAGACUUCCUCCAUAACCCCAGAACCCUAAUCAGAAUUGAGAAGAAUGUGCCUUUCUCUCCCUAGGAUCUUUCUUUCUCUUUCUUUCUUUCUUUCUUUUCUUCUUCUUUUUUUCCCCUUUUUUCUUUUUUUUGGCCACACUUGAGGCAUGUGGAAGUUCCCAGGCCACGGGCUAAAUCUGCACCACAGCAGCAACCCAAGCCACGGCAGGUCCUUAACAUGGUAGGCUACCAGGGAACUCCAGCUCUCCAGGAUUUAAGGUGAAUCAUGCUGCUUUGGUUAUUUAUUUUUUUACUUUUUUGCUUUUUAGGGCGGCACCUGCGGCAUGUGGGCAGACGUUCCCAGACUAGGGAUCGAAUUAGAGCUGCAGCUGCUAGCCUACACCACAGCCACAGCAACACCAGAUCCUUAACCCACUGAGAGAGGCCAGGGAUCAAACCCACAUCCUCAUGGAUACUAGUUGGGUUCAUAACCCACUAAGCCAUGGUGGAAACUCUGGUGCUGCCUUUAAAACAGACAUGUAGGAAUUCUCAAUGUGGCUCAGCAUGUUAAGAGCCAGACAUAGUGUCCAUGAGGUUGCGGGUUUGAUCCCGGGCUUCAUUCAGUGGGUUAAGGAUCCAGCGUUGCCAUAAGCUGUGGAUCCUGCACUGCUGCGGCUGUGGUGUAGGCUGGCGACUACAGCUCCAAUUGGACCCCUAGCCUGGGAACUUCCCUAUGCCACAGGAGUGGCCCUAAAAAAGAAAAAGACAAACAAAACAAAAAAAUGGGCAUAUAUACAAUGCACCCAGACACUAGCAAUGACCAAUCUAAUUCAGCCAGAGUCCUGUCAUGGCGAGGGUUUCAGUUGUGUGACCUUGGGCAGGUCACUUGACUUCUCUGUAUCUGGGUUCCUCCCAUCUCUACAUAAAGAGUGAAUAACAGAACCUACCUCCUAGGGGUGUCGUAAGGAUCAAAGCAACGAAUAGCAGACAGGACCUGUGACAGAGUACACGCUGCCAAACGUCUGUUAAACACAUAAGGCCAAGGCCACUCUCACGGUACCAGCGGGACCCCCGAGGUACAGGGAGAGGAAAGGACAGGCUCAGAGCAACGGGGCGCCUCCCUUCCCUCAGGCCAUCACCAGCCACAGCCAGUCGAACCCUUGGAUUAUCCAGGCGCAGGCCCUCCCUGCUCGCUCAAUGUUCCUGAGCUCCGGCUUGGCUUCCGCCGGGCUUCUUAAUUUCAUUCUCACGCCAACCAAAAGAGGGCGGUGGGUCCAUCAGGCCCAGGCCACAGAGGGCAGGACUGAGCCCCCAAAGGGGUGACAUAAUUCCUGUCUGUCUCUGCGUGCACCCGGGCGGGGAGGAGGGUGCAGUGGACUGUGGGCUCCCCCACCCCCAUCCAGCCCCAGCACCCCCCGCAUUAUCUCUAGGCGGCAGCAGCUGAGCCUCCCGGUAUCUCUCUGAUCCCCCAAAUUUCCGGUUCCCCAAAGACAACUCAGGAUGUGGGGAGGGAGGGGCAGGGAGAGGAGGAGGAGGGAGACAGAGAACGUGAGAGAGAGAGAGAGGUCACAGAGAGACAGAGGGCCACAGAGGUGACAGAGACACCCAGAGACAGAGAGACAGAUGAGAGAUAGAGCUUCUAAGAGACUGAGACCCAGGUUGAGGCUGACAGAAACGGAGGCAAAGUCAGAAAGGGGGCGGUGACCCUGGGACACACAGAGACAAGGGGAGACGGGGAGGGAGAGACCCAGAGACUGAGACGGAGGCAAAAAUGAAAGUGGCAAGUGGGACGGGGAGAGAGGGGGCUGGAGUCAGAGCGGGGU